rfam:Drosophila willistoni strain TSC#14030-0811.24 scf2_1100000004921 genomic scaffold, whole genome shotgun sequence.
GUUUCCGUAGUGUAGCGGUUAUCACGUGUGCUUCACACGCACAAGGUCCCCGGUUCGAACCCGGGCGGAAACA